ensembl:lncRNA
AGCUUUUUCCCUCCCUGCUUGCAGGCUCAUGAGCUGGAAUGGAUUGUUACCAUCUGAAGGCUGGUGAAAUGUGUUGGCUUUUGGUGGCUCAGUUCCCCAAGUUGAUUCCGGCAGUUUGUUGGCAAGUCUGAAUGGGUCUGGGGAUCCAGCCUUGAAGGAGUCCUCCAAACCAGGGCUGGAGAACAGUGAGACAACACGUAUGCAAAGGCUGCUGUCGCUUGCUGCAUCCUUGCUUCAUGGCUAAAUAGGGCACUUGAGUCUUCAGGGCUUAAGUCCAUCUGGCUCUUCACAGUCACUUAAGCAGUGUUUUCAAGCAGCAGCUGCCAGGACACCCUCGUCUGCUGGCUUUGUGUGCCAAGAUAGAGAAGACCAUCCUGUGUCUGCAAAAGAUGCCAGGUUGUUUUCACAGAAAGAAUCGUGUGAAGCAAGUGGCAAGAGACAUGCAGUGAGAAGAGAAAAAUGCUUCUGAUGGUCCCAGUACUGAGAAUAUGCUGUGCAACUCACACACACUCAACCGCAGAUCUUAUCAGGCUGGUCUGUUUCCACUGAGAGGUGUCUGCUGUUCCCCUCUAUCAGCGAUGCACAGGCAACAGUUGUGGAGAUUAUAAACUUCUUUAUUUUGGUAAGUAAUCUCCAGAUCUCUGCACAGCAAAAGGUCACGUAUUCUUGCCUUCUUAAUAAGAAACACGGCCGCAAAUGUUACCGUGCAACUGAAGCUGAGAAACACACUGCUCAAAUGGGAGGCUACAAUGAGGACUAUGGAUGUCCCAGCGGCAACAGAAGCUGUUUUCUUUCCAAGGAUGGGUCAUGGAAAAAUCCAUCUGCUCCAAUCAGGGUAUCUGCAAGGGCUUGUGACUUUCUGUGCACCAGAGUCAUCUCAAGUGCUCGGUAUGGUCAGUGCCGAGGAAUAGAUACUGCAAUUUGAUUUAGGCCUGAUGGAGUCUUCUCCUUCUGUAGUCAUUCCUGUCCAGCCAUUGUGGGCAUUUGUAAACAGAGCUGACACGAGAACACGCUAAAAUGAAAGCAGAAAUGCAGCACUGGCAACUGCAAAACUCUUUUCCUUAACUCCAUUCUCAGAAAUGUACUAAAUAUUAAUGCCUGCCUCAGUUUUGUGUGGCUGGUUUGUUAAAUGAAGGCCUAGCUGAGAGGACAGUGGGGUCUAUUUCUAACACAUUGUCCCCUCUACUUUCUGAGAUCUUCUGUAUUUUCCCUAGCAGCCAGAUACAGAUGAAAAGUGGGCAUGGAAUGAGUACUUCAGCAGCAUUACUUCAAGGACUGGUCAGGCAGGAGGUGAUGGACAUGUAGGCCUAGUUAACAGCAACCCAACCUGUAGAGAUGCAUUAGCAUUCAGGUGUUAGUGAGAAAGGGAAUAAUCUGGGCAUGAUGUAGGAAAGAUCUACAAAUAUCUAGGGCUAGAAAAAUCUUUAGAGAGUUUCAUGCUGACCACUUUGCCCUUUGAAGCAGGUCCAGGUAUCUUUUGAGAGUUGGGUUAUUUUGGUAGUGAGGAAUUUGCAGGACACACAAGGACCACUCAGCCUCCUUUUCUUCUCAGCAACCCUGUAGAGAAAGAAAGCAAGGAGGAUGCCAAAUGUUAUGUAUGAUCUGCCAGAGCUGUGCCCAUACCAACCAGUGGCUGUUGUGGAAAAGCUGCCCAUAUGCUGAGAACCCAGCACCCAGGCACAAAGCAACAGGACAAGAGACAAUGGCCGUAAGUUGUGCCACGGAAGUUCAGGUUGGAUAUUAAGAAAAAAAUUCUUCUCAGAAAGAAUGGUGAGGCUUUGGCACAGGCUGCCCAGGGGGGUGGUGGGGUCACCAUCCCUGGAGGUGUUCCAGAACCAUGGAGACGUGGCCCUGAGGGACAUGGUCAGUGGACACAGUGGGUUGAGAUUGGACGUGGUGAUCUUAGAGGUCUCUUCCAACCUGAUUCUGUGAUUCUGUGGUUCUAUGAAAGCACUCUUCCUGCCCUGAAUAUUUCCUUCUUUUAUGGGCAGUUAGUAACGAGAUCAGAAUUGGGCCCUAGGAUCUCCUGUAAAGCAUCCCCUUUAAUGCCUGGUAUUUUUGAAGUGCAUUUACUCUUUGACAUUCUUCUAUAAUGAUAAAGGAUUUACAGGCUUCAUCCCCUGGUGUUCAAGUGGCAGUAACAUCUGAGCUGGAGAGCAGUACCAAGCCAAGAUACAGCGGACUCAGAUUCUGUAGUACUUUGAUAUUGAAACAUGUUGUCUUUCUAAAUUGGAAGGAAAACGAGUAUUUUCUCAUUAUGCGAUCAGAUAGAAGAAAAAUUAUCUCAGGAUGUUUUUGUUUUGGCGUGUAGUCAAUUUUGAUUCAAUUCUGGAAAUUUGUUUUGAAGUAUGUUCUGCUCUUCAUGUAUGUAUGUGUAAUACAUGUCAUUUCAGUGCAUCU